rnacentral:rRNA from 1 species
GGGUAUAGUUCUUCGGAACUAGAGACCGGCGCACGGGUGCGUAACGCGUAUGCAAUCUGCCUUGUACUGGGGAAUAGCCCGGAGAAAUCCGGAUUAAUGCCCCAUAGUAUUUUUGUGUGGCAUCACACGAUCAUUAAAGAUUUAUCGGUACAAGAUGAGCAUGCGUCCCAUUAGUUAGUUGGUGUGGUAACGGCACACCAAGACGAUGAUGGGUAGGGGUCCUGAGAGGGAGAUCCCCCACACUGGUACUGAGACACGGACCAGACUCCUACGGGAGGCAGCAGUGAGGAAUAUUGGUCAAUGGGCGCAAGCCUGAACCAGCCAUGCCGCGUGCAGGAUGACGGUCCUAUGGAUUGUAAACUGCUUUUGUACGGGAAGAAACACUCCUUUGUAAAGGAGCUUGACGGUACCGUAAGAAUAAGGAUCGGCUAACUCCGUGCCAGCAGCCGCGGUAAUACGGAGGAUCCAAGCGUUAUCCGGAAUCAUUGGGUUUAAAGGGUCCGUAGGCGGCCCUGUAAGUCAGUGGUGAAAUCUCCCCGCUCAACGGGGAAACUGCCAUUGAUACUGCAGGGCUUGAAUUAUUGGGAAGUAACUAGAAUAUGUAGUGUAGCGGUGAAAUGCUUAGAGAUUACAUGGAAUACCAAUUGCGAAGGCAGGUUACUAUCAAUAUAUUGACGCUGAUGGACGAAAGCGUGGGUAGCGAACAGGAUUAGAUACCCUGGUAGUCCACGCCGUAAACGAUGGAUACUAGCUGUUCGACUGCAAGGUUGAGUGGCUAAGCGAAAGUGAUAAGUAUCCCACCUGGGGAGUAC